GUCUUAAAACUUCUUAAGGUAAAAGAGUAGUUUAAUAAGAACAAAUUAUAUUAUCCGAAAAUAUCGUACAUGAUCAUGAUGCAAAUUUAAAGUUUUCACUAUUGUUUCCCACUUUAUAAUAUUGCUGGAUGCUGUAUUUGAAUCUUGCCUUUGGCAAUGGUGGAGGAAGAGGAGAUUCAGCUAACACAAUUUGCUGGUUGUUCAUCAUUGAAUCAUCAGUAGAAUUUGUGCUUCAUCUUUAUCUUCUUUGGCCUUAUGAAGUAACAUACUAGACAAAGUAGAAGAAUUAGCAUCACUAGAACUAUCCAAUGAGUCCUUCUCUUCUAUAGCUUGUACAUGAUUUGUGUCUUGAUGAGAAGUUUCUUUCCCUCUUCUUUUGUCCAACUCGGCAAUCAGAGUAUCUAUCCUUAGAUUUUUAUCUACAGAGCUCAAAUUUGAA